rnacentral:rRNA from 1 species
GAUGAACGCUAGCGGCAGGCCUAAUACAUGCAAGUCGGACGGGAUCCAUCGGAGAGCUUGCUCGAAGAUGGUGAGAGUGGCGCACGGGUGCGUAACGCGUGAGCAACCUACCUCUAUCAGGGGGAUAGCCUCUCGAAAGAGAGAUUAACACCGCAUAACAUCAACAGUUCGCAUGUCCGGUUGACUAAAUAUUUAUAGGAUAGAGAUGGGCUCGCGUGACAUUAGCUAGUUGGUAGGGUAACGGCUUACCAAGGCGACGAUGGCUAGGGGCUCUGAGAGGAGAAUCCCCCACACUGGUACUGAGACACGGACCAGACUCCUACGGGAGGCAGCAGUAAGGAAUAUUGGUCAAUGGGCGGAAGCCUGAACCAGCCAUGCCGCGUGCAGGACGACUGCCCUAUGGGUUGUAAACUGCUUUUGUCCAGGAAUAAACCUAAAUACGUGUAUUUAGCCGAAUGUACUGGAAGAAUAAGGAUCGGCUAACUCCGUGCCAGCCGCCGCAGUAACAC